rnacentral:ncRNA from 1 species
ACCACACUGCCGCCGGGCAGUUGCGCGAGGAGCGCCGGAUUUCGUAUCGUUAGGCCAUUGAAGAUGCGGAAUGCGGCGCUUUUUGUUU